AUGACCUUCAUGCACUAUAUAUAGAAGUUUUGGAACAAUACAGAGAAAAUGAGCAUGGCCUCUGUGAAAACAUGGAAUGGAAAUUCUUGAGAUAAAGUACACUUGA